UACGGGAGGCAGCAGUGGGGAAUAUUGCACAAUGGGCGCAAGCCUGAUGCAGCCAUGCCGCGUGUAUGAAGAAGGCCUUCGGGUUGUAAAGUACUUUCAGCGGGGAGGAAGGCGAUGCGGUUAAUAACCGCGUCGAUUGACGUUACCCGCAGAAGAAGCACCGGCUAACUCCGUGCCAGCAGCCGCGGUAAUACGGAGGGUGCAAGCGUUAAUCGGAAUUACUGGGCGUAAAGCGCACGCAGGCGGUCUGUUAAGUCAGAUGUGAAAUCCCCGGGCUUAACCUGGGAACUGCAUUUUGAAACUGGCAGGCUUGAGUCUUGUAGAGGGGGUUAGAAUUCCAGGUGUAGCGGUGAAAUGCGUAGAGAUCUGGAGGAAUACCGGUGGCGAAGGCGGCCCCUGGACAAAGACUGACGCUCAGGUGCGAAAGCGUGGGGAGCAAACAGGAUUAGAUACC
rnacentral:rRNA from 1 species